rnacentral:rRNA from 1 species
AUUGAACGCUGGCGGCAGGCCUAACACAUGCAAGUCGAGCGGAGCGGCGGACGGGUGAGUAAUGCCUAGGAAUCUGCCUGGUAGUGGGGGAUAACGUCCGGAAACGGGCGCUAAUACUGCAUACUAUCAGAUGAGCCUAGGUCGGAUUAGCUAGUUGGUGGGGUAAAGGCCUACCAAGGCGACGAUCCGUAACUGGUCUGAGAGGAGGAUCAGUCACAUUGGAACUGAGACACGGUCAAGACUCCUACGGGAGGAAGCAGUGGGGAAUAUUGGACAAUGGGCGAAAGCCUGAUCCAGCAAGGCCGCGUGAGUGAAGAAGGUCUUCGGAUUGUAAAGCACUUUAAGUUGGGAGGCGUUACCAACAGAGAAAGCACCGGCUAACUUCGUGCCAGCAGCCGCGGUAAUUC